GAUGAACGCUAGCGACAGGCCUAACACAUGCAAGUCGAGGGGCAGCACAAGGUAGCAAUACUUGGGUGGCGACCGGCGGACGGGUGAGUAACACGUAUGCAACCUGCCCGUAAUCGGGGGAUAACCCGGAGAAAUUCGGACUAAAACUCCAUGAAUCUGAGAUAUCGCAUGAUAAAACAGAAAAACGCAAGGAUUACGGAUGGGCAUGCGGAUGAUUAGCUAGUUGGAGGGGUAACGGCCCGCCAAGGCGACGAUCAUUAGGGGUUCUGAGAGGAAGGUCCCCCACAUUGGAACUGAGAGACGGUCCAAACUCCUACGGGAGGCAGCAGUGAGGAAUAUUGGUCAAUGGGCGAGAGCCUGAACCAGCCAAGUCGCGUGAAGGAAGAAGGUCUUAUGGAUUGUAAACUUCUU
rnacentral:rRNA from 1 species